rnacentral:lncRNA from 1 species
CCAUCCUAGGGUUCAGGAAGACCUGUUUCUGUUUCUGCUUCUGCUUCCGUCUGCUAAGGCUUAGCCACCAAAUGACGCUAUGUCUGAGUCUUUCCAUUCAUCUGACCUAAGUGGGGGUGGGGGGGGUGACACAGGUGGUCAAAGUUAGCAGUGAACUUUAAGAUACCUUCCAACUUGGAAAUGUUAAGUACUUGAAAUGUGAUGAUUCAUAGGGGAAGUUUCCUGCCGCCAUUACCCCUCCCUGCCCCAUGAGACCCUGAGGAAGGUUUGACUGCCAAAACAUCCCCUGGACCCCAACUAGUUCCAGGAAAUGGGUAGCCACAGAAAGCCCUCGCCCCCGUCCUCUUGAAAUGCUCCCAAACUAGCUCACCCCUUGCAGCUAAUCCAGGUAGCCACAUGCUCCUGAAGACCAGUCUCUUCCUGCUUCCAGGAAUCCUACCCCGAAGGAAGGUUCACCAGCCCAGCAGUCACUAUUUUCUUUUUAUACUCUAUAGACCAUCCUCUCUGACACCUUUGAAUCACAGCUGAAACAAAGGUGACCACAGAAGUAUUUCCCUUGUUGCAAGUUUAUGAAUGCACAGUCUUUGUUAAUUUUGUCCUGGACUUUCUCUGACGCAUGUGGGAUGUGUGUAGAAAUUCUGCCUUCACGCACAUCCUGUGUAAACGUGGGUUUGUUCUGGUUGACCACCUUGGACUACAUUGCCUUCUUGAACCAUUGAAGCCAGUGUAGGAACCCUCAUUCAGACCUCUAAUUAAAUUCAGUGGAUAAAUGAAUGAUGAAGGACAGCUGACAUAAAAAAUGGAUUAAAAUGAAAUGCCAAGGGCAGCACUCCCCUGGCUUCUGCCCAGAGCACAUGAUGUGUUCCUCAAGUCCCAGAAGUACAUAGGGCAGUUUGAUUUCGGAACCAUCUAAGGCUGGGCUUGCUGCAGCAGCUGCCCUAGCUGACAGCCAAACAGCUUUCCCUGCAAAGGUGGAAACACGUGCCAGUCUGCACAUGGGACUGGUGUACUGUCAGACCUGUCUACUAAUGACCACUGUCAUUUGUCCUAUUUUGCCAUUGAUUUGUGUAUUUCUCAAACAGUACAUGCCCAAAAUUUAGGAAAAUAGUUCAGUUGAACACAGAGUAUACUUCUGAUUUGCGCCAUUCCUGUAGUUGAUAGAUUCCAGUAUUUGGAGUGAAGACAAUAUGAGACCAAGGACAGUACACCUGUGAGAACUGUAUGUCCUAGUGAAGGAGAUUGAAGCGGAUGAGGGCAUCGUGUCAGGCAGCUGCAUCUAAAGGCUGCCAAGUCAAGGCCAGGAGGGAAACAGUUCUAGGCUAAUGGAGCAGCAAAUGCAAAGGCCCUGAGGGGCAGUGCACUGGGGGAUCUGGAGAGACCACUGGAAGGCCAGGAGUGGGUGAGCAAGAGUUGGCAGGACAGAGUUAGGCAGGUCUACAUUAUAGGCACAGUGAGCAUGACGAUGCCACGGGUAGACUUCAGCAAAGUAGAGGUGUGUAAUUGUUUUUAAAAGAUGUUAUUGACCAGGUGCCGUGGCUCGGGAGGCUAAGGCAGGAGGAUUGCAAGUUCAAAGCCAGCCUCAGCAACUUAGGGAGACUCUGUCUCUAAAUAAAAUAUAAAAAGGGCUGGGGAUGUAGCUCAGUGGUUAAGCGCCCCUGGGUUCAAUCUCUAGUACCCCCCCAAAAAAAAUAAGGAUGUCAUUGGACACUGGAAGAUUGGCUGGCCUUGCUGCUACUUUGCCCAUGGGAGGCUGUGGAAGGCUGUUCUGGGAUGCCCAGCCCAGGCCUUAAGAGGACAGCCAGUUUCUUCUUUCUUCCUCUUAGAAUGCUGGCUCUGCCAGGUUACAUGGGAGGCCACACAGAGGAGGCUUGAGACCAACCAUCCCAGCCCAGAACGCAGCCAACCGCAGCAGCAACUGCCAGCCAGGCAACGUUCUGCUGAAGAAGCCACCACGGACAUUCUGCCAGUCGAGCCCACAAGGACCCACGGUGCCACCAACAACACUCACUCAGAGAAGCCACAUCAGCCCAAGAAAACCAAAGAAUUGUGAGACCAAAUAACUUGGUUUUGAAAUGGUUUUUUUCACGGUGGUAACUGAAACAGGGCCAAGGGGGGAGCGGACACCAGGGAGCCAGUUGUCAGGAUGUUCUAGGCAAGAGGUGACGGAGCCUGGACCAGACAGGUGGAAGUGACCCAGGAAGUGCUCAGGUUCAGGGUACACUGUGUGAGCCAUUUCCGGUUGGAACGUGAGGGAAGGAGCUCCAACAGAAGGCAGCGUCCCUGCCUGGCCUCCCCUCAUCCCCGGCCGCUCCUUACAGACGGACACCCAGACUCCGCUCUCUCUUUUGACAGCCACCACCAUAUUGUACCAACCACCUGCUAUACUAUUAUUUUCCCCCUUACUUUUUUAUUUUAAAAUUAUAAACUUAUUUAUUUUGGUAACAGAGGUGCUUUACCACUGAGCCAUGUCCCCAGCCCUCUUCAUUUUUCAUUUUGAGACAGAGUCUCACUAAGUUGCUUAGAGCCUCACUAAAUUGCUGAGGCUGACCUUGAACUUUCGAUCCUCCUGCGUCAGCCUCCGGGGCAGCAGGGAUUACAGGUGUACAAUACCAUACCCAGCUAAUUUGCCUUGUUGUUGUUGUUAUUGUUUGUUUGUUUGUUUUUUAAGAUUGAAGUACAUCCUCAGUGGAAAAGGCUUAAGUUGAUAAAUAAAACCUCAAGGACAUAAAGGAAAUUAUUAAUAGAUGUGACCCAAAAAUGAAAAAAAAAAAAAAACUUCUCUCUCUUAAAAGAUAAUAAAGUUAAAAGAUGAGCCGUGCUUUUCAGCAGUGAUAAGGAGGACAUGCCUCUUGUGAAGGAUCCUCUUCAUCCCUCUCCAGAGAAGAAGAGCAGCACAAGCAGCAGCACCUGGGACAGAGCACGGUGUCAAUUCCCACUCAGUGACAUCACCUGGUCUGCAGGCGCACGUGGGAGUCCUGUGGCCGCUGCCCUGUGGUCCUCUGCCAGCCUCCAGGAGGAACAGCAGCUUGGGGGGAUGGGAAGAGGAAAGCAGCUUCAGUAGCACCCCGAGCCCACCUGGGUGGGAAGCCAGCCCAGGAAGCCGUUCUGGGUUUUAAAAAUGGAGCGAAAAUAUUUGCAAAAUGUAACAACAACGAUCUCAUACCCUAAACACAAGAAGAAUUUAAAGAAGAAUAACCGGGGGCUGGGCUGGGGCUCGGUGGCAGCGCACUUCCCUGGCAUGUGUGAGGCCCUGGGUUCGAUUCUCAGCACCGCAUAUAAAUAAAUAAAAUAAAGGUCCAUCAACAUCUAAAAAAGUAUUAAAAGAAGAAGAAGAAGAAGAAUUGGUCUAAUAGAGAAUGGCAUUAAAUAGCCGUGCUGGCUGAUCUGGUUGUGGACAUGGUGUGAGGCCUCCGCCCUCCUGUAGAAGGGCCCAGGCUAUUCACGGUGUCAAGGAGGCGAGAGGAGAACCUUCGAGGACCCUUCAAGCUACAGGACCCCCACAGAUGGGCUUCUUUCCUGUUCUCUUGGUCAAGUAUGCACAGGCCAGCCCAGGUUCAAGGGCUGCUUAUCUGUGCAGUGAUGGAAUUCCGUAAGGUGGCCUUGCAUGGGGGUUCUUUUCUUUUCAUCUCCUCUUUCUCCUCCUCCUAUUUUUCUUUUAGGAAAAAGAUCGUUGGGCAUUUUAAAAUUUAUUUUAAUCCGAAAACCUGUGUCUUCCAGUUUGAAAUUAUUUCUAUUAUUUCCUUAUUAGAUAUAUUUUCCAGAAAUAUUUUCUCACAAAGCAUUAGAAGAGUAGCAUUAUUUCACACUUUAAAAAAUCUCUUUAAUGCUGGCUUCACAGAACACAAGUGAAGUCUCACAUCUACUUCUGCAUUCAAUCCGCUGCAAUAUGUUGUUUUGGUUGAAGUGUAUGAAGAGGUAAGGACUAAGUACUGUUGUUUUCUUUUUAAACAGGACUGGGGGUUGAACCCAAGGCCUUGCACAUUCUAGGCAAGUGCUCUACAACUGAGCUACCCCUCCCCACCCCCAGCCCUUUUUAUUUUGAGAUAGAAUCUCACUAAGUUGCCAAGGCUGGCCUCCAACUUGUGAUCCUCAUGCCUCAGCCUCCCAAGUAGCUGGGAUUACAUGUGUGUGUUAGUGUGCCCGAUUAGCAUGGAUGAACUGGAGAGUUAAACAGUUCUAUGUGCCCAGUCUAAGAGGAGCCCUCACUUGUGUCAGUUUUACCUCCAGGAGCCCCGCCAGAUUCUCAUAGUGAGAAUAAAAUAUCAGGGAAAAUCUCAUACACAUCUGAGGGAGGGGAAAGUAACCACUGUGAAAUAAGCCCAGCACAUUCUCAGCAAAAGUGGCCCAGCCAGCAACGGCAGAGACUUCAUCGAGCCUAAUUCAACUCCAGCCCCCUCUAGACUUUGAGCCUCAACUAAAGGUGAGAAGGAGCUAAGACGAACUUGUGAAGGUCACAGCCCAGGGGCACAGGCCCAUUACAAGUGUAAGACCAAAUCAUAGGGUGAUAGGGUGCUUCCUCUCCCUGACACCUUGGUACCUCUCUACAGGGCUCCUCUCUGACAGGGGGUUACAGGUGCAAGAACUUCAAGGCUUAGUUCUCUUGAAGCUUUAUUUUUGCAGUGCUGGGGAUUGAACUCAGGGCCUCACACAUGGUAGGCAAGUGCAGAACACUGAGCUAUCCUCCGCCCACUCAGACUCUAAGGAGAUUCUGGGGAACCCAAAAGACAACAAAGGAGAUAUCUUCAUCUAUUUCGUUGAUGUAGCAGAACACCACAGCCUGGGUACUGUAGAAAGAACAGAAAUGGAGGCUGAGGAGUCCAAGAUGAAGGUUGCAGGGGUUUGUUGUCAUGUAGGGUACCCGGCUCUGCCUCUAAGAUGCUCCUUGCAUACUGCAUCCUCCAGAGGCAGAUGCCAUGUGCUCAUGCAGCAGAUGGUGGAGGGCCAAGGAGGGAAGGCCUCCCUCUGCAGAGCCCUUUUAUAAAAAAACAGGUGAGCUCAUCAAGGGGGGCGGAGCCUCCAUGGCCAAUCAUCUUCCAAAAGCCAUGCCCCCCAACAUCACUGCAUUGGGAACCAAGCUUCUGGGUGAAUCUCAGAGAGCAAAAGCCACUUGAACCACAGCAGGAGACAAACUGAGUACUGGAGGCAAUGGGCGGCUGUGACACCUAUAGCUAGAGCAACAGUCAGCCCAGCCGGACUGCUAGCCAGGUAAAGGAGCGUCCCAUCCUGCCGUCCCACACAGCAGACCUUCAACAACAACAGAUUAUAAGGAAUUUUAGGAGAGAAAAACGUCUAUCUGAAGAGACAAAUAGCAACAGAAUCAUCAAGUCAGAGAGUGGGGCACUGUGAGACUAACAUAACUAUGACCAGUAGACCAAGAGCUCUGAUAGGAAAGUGAGCGACAGGCAAGGACCGAUGGGUAAAGAGGACACCGAGGGGGAAGCCUACGAAGUGUCAAGAAGAAAUGCAUGAGAGCAAACAGACCGGAGCAGACACGAAGAGCAUCCGGAGAGAAGACACAGCGAGGAAAGAAUCGUGAGCCAACUUGAGGACACCCAACGAACCUUCCACGUUGAAACACAAAUAAAAAAUCAUGAAAAACCAAAACAGGGUUGGGGGUGCAGUUUAGAGGAAGAGCACUUGCCUGCCCUGCAUGAGGCCCUGGUUCAACCCCCACCCACCACAAGCCGGAAAGGAACAUUGAAGAACUGUGGGACACAGCACAACGGACUCCACCAGACCCUGCACCAGGCCAUGCUGAUCUUGCUGUCACAGCUGAGUUCUUCCUGCCUGGGCUUGUUCUCGAAGUUCUUUGUCAAGCAACUGUGAUCCUAAGCUAUUGGGUCUUCAAGGAGGUUCACAGAAAGAAUGGAAAAAAAUUUUUGAAGUACAGAUUUCUGAAGACUUUACAAUCACACCAUUGGACUAGAAUUUGGAAGAGAUUAGGGCCCUACUAGGGCCCUACGUGACCACUUCAUGGGGCUCCACGAACCCAGCAAGACCGCACCUCAGCCCACGAGCCCCGCACCUUGUCCCCCACGGCAAAGCAAGGCCUUAGCCACCCUGGAGGGUGAGCAAAGCCCUGACAACCACCAGUGGGACACUUAGUGGCUGUCGGGUGGUUGGUGUAGUUUUACCAAAGUUGAAAGGGCAGAGUAACAGGGCGUAUCUGACAAACUGGAAAUGCCCGCUAUCCUUUGGGAAGAUCGACUGGCCAUUUGUAGAGGCCUGUGUAUACGAUAUGAAGAAGCUGCUCUCAACUUGCCCCACCCCCCGCACACACCUUGUAAAACCUUUGCUACAUCUGGACAUUCUAAAUGUAAAGAGGUUGCAGACAUAUGAUAGAGUUACAAAAUAACGUAAAUGCCCAUUUGUUUGAAAAAAAUCAGAAAUUUCUUCUGGAAGUGACAUUGAAUGGGUUUGUUAGACCACCUCUAGGAACGAAUGGCACUUGUCUCGCUUGUUCAGUGGGUUAGAGGACACGGAGAAGACUUUGACGGUGAGAAGGAGGUCUCGUGCCAGACUAGUUUUCUGUAAAAGCCGCUUUCUAUUAUAACAAUUGUUUUGUGUGUGCAUUUUAUUCCUCAUUACUGUAUAUAUAGUUGAAAAUGCUAAGAACUUUUUUUAAAAAUAUCUAGACUUUUGAGAUGCUCUAAAGUGCCUGGCAUAUGUUAAAAGUAGAAGUGGUAAAAUAUAACACAUUUUGUAAAUUUAUUUUUAUUAAAAUUAUAUUUAUAUAUAUAUAUAAUUUUUAGUUGAAGGUGGACACAAUACCUUUAUUUUAUUUAUUUAUAUGUGUUGCUGAGGAUCAAAACCAGAGCUUCUCACACAGUAGGCGAGUGCUCUACCACUAAGCCACAACUCCCCUACCCCCAUUUUUUUUUGUUUGUUAAAAUUCUUAUGAAAAAAAACUUUUUUUGGAGUGGGCAAUAGCCAACCCCCUGUUGAGGUACAGAGUUGUGUUCUGGUCCUCAUGCCGGUGUGCUCACCGUGAGCCAAGAGUCGUACCUUAUAUCUAUGGGUUUUGUUUUCUUUGCUCUGUACAUAGUGUAUAUAAAGGACAAAUGAGUCCUCCUAAUCUACAUCUAGUCUUUCUAGAUGUUAAUGAGGUUGCCAGUGUAUGACAAAAGUAGAAUUAUAAAAUUCCUAGGAAGGAUUGUCUUCUGAAAAUUUGAGCAUUAUAGCCCACCGGGUGGGUGAAGGGCCAGAAUGCUCAUAUUUCGAAGAUAUUUUCAAAUUAGAACUAUUGUUACAUGUGUGCAGUGUAGUCAAGACUGUCGUACAGAGUGGACAAAUUGAAUCCCUACUUGAAAUAUCUAGUCUGUCUAGAUGUUUAGAAGUGCCCAAUAUGUGUUAUAGUAGAGGUAGUACAAUAUCACUCCGUAAAUAUUUUUUUGCUAAACUUCAAAUGAAAGAUUGUCUUUUGG